AGUCGAGCGGAAACGAUGAUAGCUUGCUAUCAGGCGUCGAGCGGCGGACGGGUGAGUAAUACUUAGGAAUCUACCUAGUAGUGGGGGAUAGCACGGGGAAACUCGUAUUAAUACCGCAUACGACCUACGGGAGAAAGGGGGCAGUUUACUGCUCUCGCUAUUAGAUGAGCCUAAGUCGGAUUAGCUAGAUGGUGGGGUAAAGGCCUACCAUGGCGACGAUCUGUAGCUGGUCUGAGAGGAUGAUCAGCCACACCGGGACUGAGACACGGCCCGGACUCCUACGGGAGGCAGCAGUGGGGAAUAUUGGACAAUGGGGGAAACCCUGAUCCAGCCAUGCCGCGUGUGUGAAGAAGGCCUUUUGGUUGUAAAGCACUUUAAGCAGUGAAGAAGACUCUUCGGUUAAUACCCGGAGACGAUGACAUUAGCUGCAGAAUAAGCACCGGCUAACUCUGUGCCAGCAGCCGCGGUAAUACAGAGGGUGCAAGCGUUAAUCGGAAUUACUGGGCGUAAAGGGAGCGUAGGUGGCUCGAUAAGUCAGAUGUGAAAUCCCCGGGCUCAACCUGGGAACUGCAUCUGAUACUGUUGAGCUAGAGUAUGUGAGAGGAAGGUAGAAUUCCAGGUGUAGCGGUGAAAUGCGUAGAGAUCUGGAGGAAUACCGAUGGCGAAGGCAGCCUUCUGGCAUAAUACUGACACUGAGGCUCGAAAGCGUGGGUAGCAAACAGGAUUAGAUACCCUGGUAGUCCACGCCGUAAACGAUGUCUACUAGUCGUUGGGUCCCUUGAGGACUUAGUGACGCAGCUAA
rnacentral:rRNA from 1 species